CCUACGGGUGGUAGCAGUGAGGAAUAUUGGUCAAUGGGCGGGAGCCUGAACCAGCCAAGUCGCGUGAGGGAAGACGGUCCUAUGGAUUGUAAACCUCUUUAGGCGGGGAGCAAUGCCGGGCACGCGUGCCCGGAGGGAGAGUACCCGCAGAAUAAGCAUCGGCUAACUCCGUGCCAGCAGCCGCGGUAAUACGGAGGAGGCGAGCGUUAUCCGGAUUUAUUGGGUUUAAAGGGUGCGUAGGCGGAUUUGUAAGUCAGCGGUAAAAUGUCCGGGCUCAACCCGGGCCGGCCGUUGAAACGGUCGAGCUUGAGUGAAGUAGAGGUAGGCGGAAUUCCCGGUGUAGCGGUGAAAUGCGUAGAGAUCGGGAGGAACACCAGUGGCGAAGGCGGCCUACUGGGCUUUAACUGACGCUGAGGCACGAAAGCGUGGGUAGCAAACAGGAUUAGAUACCCGGGUAGUC
rnacentral:rRNA from 1 species